CCUACGGGAGGCAGCAGUGGGGAAUAUUGCGCAAUGGGCGAAAGCCUGACGCAGCGACGCCGCGUGAGGGAUGAAGGCCUUCGGGUUGUAAACCUCUUUCAGCAGGGACGAAGCGCAAGUGACGGUACCUGCAGAAGAAGCACCGGCCAACUACGUGCCAGCAGCCGCGGUAAUACGUAGGGUGCAAGCGUUGUCCGGAAUUAUUGGGCGUAAAGAGCUCGUAGGCGGCCUGUCGCGUCGGCUGUGAAAACUCAGGGCUCAACCCUGAGCCUGCAGUCGAUACGGGCAGGCUAGAGUCCGGGCAGGGGAGACUGGAAUUCCUGGUGUAGCGGUGAAAUGCGCAGAUAUCAGGAGGAACACCGGUGGCGAAGGCGGGUCUCUGGGCCGGAACUGACGCUGAGGAGCGAAAGCGUGGGGAGCGGAACAGGAUUAGGAUACCCUGGUAGUCCACGCCGUAAACGUUGGGCGCUAGGUGUGGGGAACCUUCCACGUUCUCCGUGCCGCNGCUACGCAUAGCGCCCGCCGCGGGAGGACGGCCGCGACGGACGAAACUACAAAGAGUAGUAGCGCGNGAGACGCGACGACGACGACGACGGAGGAGGAG
rnacentral:rRNA from 1 species